UUUCUUCCUCCUAGCAGAUAACUCAUCCUCGUCCGUGGUGGUGGAAGAUGAGUCAGGCCUAGCAAAGGUGUUGUGAGCCGCACGUAUCGCCUCGUUGUUGCUGAUGGCUAAACCUUUGAGCUCAGGUGGGAAGUCUUUAGCGAACUCUUUCAGUUCAGACAGUUCAGAACCGAUCUCGAUACCCGAGGAGUUCAUGAGGACAGACAGUAAGGCUUGUGUAGCACAAGCAUUUGACGCGUUAACUGCUGUAGCAGUGGUUGAUGAGCUUGAUCCGAAGGAGGUUCUUGAGUUGUUUCUCGACUCGAGGAAGACUUGGGUUCUGCAAAAGUUGAAUGCUUGUAGUGGUGAUGAUGCUGGGAGUGUUGUUUCGGUGUUUUGUGAUGUGUUGAGUGUGGUUCAGGUUACUGUGGGACAAGUCGGUGAGCUUUUUUUGCAAGCGUUGACUGAUAUGCCUCUGUUUUAUAAGACGAUUUUGAGCACCCCUCCGGCUUCUCAGCUGUUUGGUGGGAUUCCGAAUCCGGAAGAGGAGGUUGCGCUGUGGAAAUUGUUUAGAGAUAAUUUGGAAUCUGUUAUGGUUAUCUUUGAUAAAGUUGAUAUUUCUAAGGCGUGCCUGACUUGGUUGAGGGAAUGCGGUGGAAAGAUUGUUGGUAAGGUUAGUGGGAAGCGUUUGAUUGAAGCUAUUGUUACUGGUGCGGAGCUUGGAUCAGCGGAGAAGUUGAUCAGAGAGACCAUGGAUAGUAAAGAGGUAUUGAGUGGUAGUUUAGAUUGGCUUAAAAGUGUUUUUGGGUCUGAGAUAGAGCUGCCUUGGAAUAGAAUCCGGGAGCUUGUUCUAGCAGACGAUUUGAACCUAUGGGAUGAAAUAUUUGAGGAGGCAUUUGUGGAAAGAAUGAAAUCCAUUAUUGACUCUAGAUUUGAGGAUUUGGCUAAAGCUGUCAAUGUGGCAGAGUUGGUUCAUGCUUAUAGCGAGAUCACUGGUGAGAAGAUCAACUUCCAAGCAUACUUAAACAGACCUUCUACAGGUGGUGGUGUCUGGUUCAUCGAGCCUAACGCUAGGAAACCUGGUUUUAUUGCCGGAAACAAAAUGUCACCUGAAGAAAGCGACUUCCAAAGUUGUCUAACGGCGUACUUUGGUCCUGAAGUUAGCCAAAUCAGAGAUGCAGUUGAUCACCGCUGCCAGAAUGUUUUAGAAGACCUCCUAAGCUUCUUUGAGUCAGAAAAGGCAGGUCCGAGGUUAAAGGAUCUUGCUCCAUACGUACAGAGUAAAUGUUAUGACAGUGUCUCAGCACUUCUCGCAGAUGUAGAUAAGGAACUCGAAUCUCUCUGCGCUGCCAUGAAGAAAGGAAACAACGACAGCGAAGCAAUUCCACCUGCUAUAAUAAUUGAGAAAUCGCUUUUUAUGGGACGCCUUUUGUUUGCAUUGCUAAACCACUCAAAACACCUUCCCUUGAUUCUCGGUUCUCCAAGGUUGUGGUGUAGAGACAUUAUGACUGCAGUUUCUGAUAAGUUGUCAUCCUUGUUGAGACAACCAAGAUUUGGCUCGAAUACUGCAGGGACUCCUGACAGCCCUGGAAAGCUGUUGCAUACCGAUCUUAGGAAGCAGAGUUCGUUAGCUGUUGCGGCACUACUUAAGGCAGACGAGAAGACAAGUCCAAAAUUCGAAGAGCUUAAUAAAACUAUGCGAGAUAUGUGCAUUAAGGCUCAUACAUUGUGGAUACAGUGGUUAUCGGAUGAGCUCUCCGCUAUUCUCUUGCGGGAUCUUAGGAUUGACGAUGGACUGUCUGCUACAACUCCUUUAAGGGUAACUAAAAGCUGAUUCUUAUCCUUAUUUUUCUUAGUUGUCGUCUCUCUCCUGCAUUGAUAUUAGAUAUUGCUGACUAAUAUUCAUAGUUAGUUGUUCGCUUUCUUUGUUUUUGGUGGAAAUAUUUCCAGGAACUACUUUAUAUCUUGAUUCUUUGAAGUUCAAUGAGAUAGUUUAGUCUUGCUCUUUUGUUGUGUCUGAACUCAUCUUUGAAGUGAUAAUGCAGGGUUGGGAGGAGACAAUAGUCAAGGAAGAGCAGGGCGAGAGUGAGUUGAAGAUAUCACUUCCGUCCUUGCCUUCGCUCUAUAUAAUUUCAUUUCUCUGUCGGGCAUCAGAAGAGAUUCAUCGAAUUGGAGGCCACGUACUGGAUAAGUCAAUUUUGCAAAAGUUUGCUUCAAGCCUGUUGGAGAAGGUGCGUUGUCUUGUCUCUGUUUACUUACUUUCCUGUGAUUAUUUUCUACAUGCUGCAGAAGUGUUUCUGGCAAGGAACAAUGUUCUAUUAAAAAUAUUUGUGAUAGUUAUUCCCUUCUUCACACUUGUUCCCUUUCAUCAGUAAAUAUCUCCAAGCUAGUGAUUGCUUAUAAAAAUGAUUUUUUUUUCAAUGUUCCAUUGUACAAUGCAGAUCAUCAUUAUUUAUGAGGAUUUCUUAUCUGCCAGGGAGGCCAACGAACCCCAAAUUUCAGAGAAGGGGGUUUUACAAAUUUUACUGGAUUUGAGAUUUGCAUCGGACAUUCUUUCUGGGGGUGAUACAAGCACCAAUGUGGAGAUACAACCAAAGAUCACAAUGAACAGAUCAGCUUUCAGGCGAAAGCAGGGCCAACAGCAAACAAAGUCAGUCAACAGAGGUCGCAUUGAUGGAGUAAUCUCCCAACUGACCCAAAAGUUGGAUCCCAUAGACUGGCUCACGUAAGGAACCUUAUUCAUAAACUCUGAACAUGUCACAUGUUUACUAUUUUGUCCGUUCUAAGAAAUUCAUGGGAAUCUUGUGGUCUUAUCGUUUACUGUCUCAAUUAUUUUCUGAUUCUAGUAUAUUUUGAAAUGUGUCAAAAAAAGGUACGAGCCUUAUCUCUGGGAGAACGAAAAGCAGUCAUACCUACGCCACGCAGUACUAUUUGGAUUCUUUGUGCAACUAAACCGAAUGUACACAGAUACUUCCCAGAAACUACCAAGUAACUCAGAGUCAAAUAUCAUGCCAUGCUCCACAGUUCCCCGCUUCAAAUACCUUCCCAUAAGGUAAGCUUUUCUUCUUCCACACCUGAAACUAUUUGUAGCCUUGUGGGAAAAAUGGUUUCUCAUAUCCGGUUAAUGCAGCGCUCCGGCUCUGUCCUCUAGAAGUACAAAUAAGGUCUCCACUCCAGUUACAUCAAAUGAAAGUUCGUCAAGAAACUCAUGGAAUGCAUUUACAAAUGGCGAGCUUUCUCAAACAAGUGAUUUGGAAGAUGACUCCAGUUUCGGCGUGGCUUCCCCGUUCUUAAAGUCUUUCAUGCAGGUACAGUCUAGUCUCCUCGGUUGAUCAGUGGCUCAAUAGUUUUUCAUAAUUUGUUCAAUAUCGUAAGAUCAUGUAAUAUAUGUUUCAGGCUGGUAGUAGAUUUGGGUCAAUACUAAGUGACGGACAAGUUGGAAUAUUCAAGGAUAGGUCAGCAGCCGCUAUGUCGACAUUUGGUGAUAUAAUACCAUCUCAAGCAGCCGGUUUACUCUCUUCUUUCACAACCACAAGGUACGAGUGAUGAUGAUGAUCUUCGGUUUUGUGACUAAACCUAUGAUGAUUGCAGCAGCUGAGAUAUCUGCCAUUAAAGAAGUUUUUACAUAAACGAAGAGUACAAGUUUUGUAAUUGUGUUCGAUUUAUUGUUUCAUGUAAUUAAGAGAUUUGGUUCUACAAAAAUCCUCAAGACUGAUACAAUCAAACCCUCAUACAUAUAAAGUUUUAAUAUCCUUGCAAAAAACUGAUUAAGGUAUUAACGUCUAGCUUUCUCAAUGAGAGGCUUGAGCUUCUUCUUGUCUGCAAGAAUCUUGAGGAAGUUGAAGAGGAAAGGGACAUAGUUAUGUUUCCUCCUCAAGUUCUCUUUCUUCCAGUUCUUAGCCCUCUCUUCCUCCAUUACAAUCUUCUGCGACACUGUCUCGAUGCCGACAUUGACUUCAGAAAGAGAUUUAUCCAGAGCCUCGUAACUGCUCUUCUCGGCGUACUUAUCAGCUUGCAGUGUACCCACCUGCUGCAGAAUCCUCUCCCGCUUCAUCUGAUACUCUUUCAGCACAGCUCGGUACAUCUCUUUCCUGUUCUUAACCACAGCCAAGAGACUAAACCGGAUCUCGUUCUGGAGAUACCGGUCAAUCCUCUCUUGCACCACAGGUUGGACCAUUCUGAGCCAUUCGAUUCCGUCUGGCUCACCGAGACAUUGUCCAAGGCUGAUGGGUCCUUCUUUAAGACCAUCUAGCUCGUAUAAGAUACCAUCGACGGGUAAGUAGCUGAUGUAAUGAUACACAUCAUCAUCUUCCUCUUCCCUUUUCUUCCUCCUAGCAGAUAACUCAUCCUCUUCCGUGGUGGUGGAAGAUGAGUCAGGCCUAGCAAAGGUGUUGUGAGCUGCACGUAUCGCCUCGUUGUUGCUGAUGGCUAAGCCUUUGAGCUCAGGUGGAAAGUCUUUGGCGAAUUCUUUAAGUUCUGUUAGUUCAGAACCAAUCUCGAUACCAGAAGAGUUCAUGAGGACAGACAGUAAGGCUUGUGUAGCACAAGCAUUGUUGAUUAUCU
rnacentral:lncRNA from 1 species